GUAACUCAAUGUGAGCAUUUCCUGCACAAACUUAUUUAAAAAUAGAAAUAAGAAAUCAUGAGAGCAGCACUGAGGUGUGGGCCAGUGUUUCAAGAUUGUUUUCUACAGAACGUGCAUACGCAUACUUAGUGUGUGUGGAUGUACGGUGGAAACAACUCCAGAGUUGUCUGCCGCACCUCCUCAGGCAGGCAGAGAGCCCUCGUCUGCUGCUCGAGAUGGUCGACAAUGCUUCAAGGCGAUCCUCUGUGAUCGUCUUCGCCUCACUGGAGUGGAGUGGCUGAGAGAGACCGACCCACUCAGCUGCUUUUGUGAGUUGCCUCCCAAAGAUGAAUGAGAUGUCGCGCGAUGCUUAUUGACUGUCUCUGGACGCGACACGUGUGACUGUGACAAGAGCGGGAAAUGACAGCCAGCCUCAAGGCUCAUCUCCAGGUCAGCGGGGCAAACGUGAGCCUGCUGAGAAAAUGCGCGGCAAAGUUAAGGAGGCGCCGUGUUGGUGGCCAGGGGGCGGGGGUCUUGAUUGACUUUGACAGCUCCUCGGGGAGGCAAGACAUGACUGUGGAGCUGUUGCGUCAGCUCAAGAAUGCGGCCCAGUCUUCUUCAUGCCACAUCAAACAUGUCAACAUAGUCACAACAUAGCAUGUGGACCAUUUAGAGACUCGCUCC